UCUACGGGGGGCUGCAGUGAGGAAUAUUGGUCAAUGGACGAGAGUCUGAACCAGCCAAGUAGCGUGAAGGAUGACUGCCCUAUGGGUUGUAAACUUCUUUUAUAUGGGAAUAAAAUGUUCCACGUGUGGGAUUUUGUAUGUACCAUAUGAAUAAGGAUCGGCUACACCCGUGCAAUAAGCAGCGGUAAUACGGAGGAUCCGAGCGUUAUCCGGUGUUAUUGGGUUUAAAGGGAGCGUAGGUGGAUUGUUAAGUCAGUUGUGAAAGUUUGCGGCUCAACCGUCAAAUUGCAGUUGAAACUGGCAGUCUUGAGUACAGUAGAGGUGGGCGGAAUUCGUGGUGUAGCGGUGAAAUGCUGAGAUAUCACGAAGAACUCCGAUUGCGAAGGCAGCUCACUGGACUGCAACUGACACUGAGGCUCGAAAGUGUGGGUAUCAAACAGGAUUAGAUACCCUGGUAGUC
rnacentral:rRNA from 1 species